UAAUUGACCAUGUUAAUUAGGGUAGCCAAA
rnacentral:piRNA from 1 species